UACGAAGGGGGCUAGCGUUGCUCGGAAUCACUGGGCGUAAAGCGCACGUAGGCGGCUUUUUAAGUCAGAGGUGAAAUCCUGGAGCUCAACUCCAGAACUGCCUUUGAUACUGGAGUGCUUGAGUCCGGGAGAGGUGAGUGGAACUGCGAGUGGUAGAGGUGAAAUUCGUAGAUAUUCGCAAGAACACCAGUGGCGAAGGCGGACUCACUGGCCCGGUACUGACGCUGACGGUGCGAAAGCGAUGGGGAGCGGACGGAGGAAUUAGAAACCCCUAA
rnacentral:rRNA from 1 species